ensembl:lncRNA
AUGCAGAUCAGAGACAUGAGACCCUCCGGUGCUGCAGGAACUCAUUGGGGGUUCUUCUGGAUUUGUGUUUUCUGGUUCAACAUAGCUUCCUGCUUUAGUGCCAAUGAUCUGGUAAACCUGCAGACCACAGAUGGGACAUACGCACAGUGUGGAGACAACGUGAUCCUGACGUGUAAUGCCAGCUCGCCUCAGCCGUGGAACUUGAAUAUAAAAAAGUUUGUCUGGCAGUUCGGAAACACAACAAUGUGCCAGUUUGGAGCGGACCAAGACGACGAUCAGUUUAAGUGUGAAAGCACGAACACCACAUUUAAUCGCAUAAUCUUUCUGACGCUUUACAACGUGAUGCCGACCAACGAAGGAAACUACCUCUGCAAGCUUUACUCCACCAGCGGGUCCUGGAACGGUGGAAGUCAGCUGAGGGCAGAAGAAUGCCUGGAGAGCACUGAAGCCUCCUCGAACGAGAAUUACGCUGAAUGCUCGUUUGAUGGGGUCUACCCCAGCGGAGAGGUCCACUGGUUCCAGGGAGACACCAACGUAACCGAAGAGGCUUACACACACAAAGAGAAGGACGAAUCUGAGCGCUUUAACAUCCGGAGCGUGAUGAACCUGAAGAAUAAUGGUCUGGGCGAGCCUUAUAACUGUUCCCUGUGGAUCCCGUCUCUGGGCAGGUACAUCGCCACUGAAGAAGUUUCAUCAGGUGGUUCGGUCAGACUCCAGUGGAUCUGGCUGGUUGUUUCUCUGAUGAUGAGUUUUAUCGUGUAAGAUUUCUCAAACGGAAGUGAGCCACUGACAGCUGCAUGUGAGUUUUGGGAAAAGUUGUUUCACCUUUUAAAUGUUGCCAUUCCUGUUCUUUCCUUUGCAUUUGAAACUGAUGAAAGAGCAUUUUUCAUGUGUUUUGCUGGAAAACUCCACUUGGUGGCAGCAUGGUGUUUAUUGCUAAGCUUUAACAGAAAGGGGGAAAUGCUUCUGCACAGGAUUUGGAUGUUUCUUCUUCUGUUGGUGUUUUUUCAUGUGAACCUUGAACGAUUUCUCCUUUUAAGGUAGAUCAGAUAAAAAUAUCUGCUUCAGUCUUCUUUUAAAUAUGAAAAGACCAAACAGUUGAUGUCCUAAAACGUGUUUACCACUUAGCCACUGAUACACAACUUAUCCAUUGCUGUGAAAGAUGGUGUGUGUUCAGAUUACAGUUCAAAUACAAGCUGUUACUACCUUGUUGUUAUAACAAGUAUUCUCCACAAUACUCCUCUGAAUGUAUUAAAACAUGCAUCUAUCUGCUUUCUGCAUGGAACUGAGAUUGCAUGAAAUGUGAUGAUUUUGCCAAAUUUGGGCUAUUUUGAUUGAUCUUAGUCACUGACCAUAGCUUUCUUAACAACCUCUGUUUGGAGAAAUAAAGUUGACGUCUCACAAGACCAAUGUUGUCACAGCUAAUACAACUUGCCUUUCGUUUACGAGUACGAAACGGACCGUGUAUGCCUUCCGCAAGAACCAGAACCUCCAAUCAGAUCAUUCACAUCGACUGCGGUGCAGAUCCGGAUGCAGAUCUCUGGCUUUUUCAAGUAUUAAUGACAGCGGCAUCAGUUCACGGUUAAUGAUAUUACAUGUUAGUGUAUUAUGCCCUCAAGGGAGACCAUUUCCAGAGACGCUCAGCCCACGAUCCACAGUCGAUGUUAAUGGCAUUUCAUCCCGAAGCCAUCUGGAAACCGGACUGCAUCUGUCCUGCACUUGGUGUGCUCAGGUUCCAGAGGUAGGCAACUCGGGUCCUAGAAGCCAGUAUCCAGACCGUUUUAGAGGUUUCUCUCAUUCAACACACACCUGAUUUUAAACAGCAAGUGACUGACAGCCUUCUGCAGAGCCUGAUGAGCUGCUGAAUGGGUGAUUCAACUGUGGUGAAGCAGGGAAACAACUAAAACAUGCUGGAUAGCAGCUCACUAGAACCAGGGUUGUCUACCUCAGCGUCAGACCAAAUUGUGCUGCUGCUACCUUGAAACUGCUGGAAUUUACAAUAUUCCAACAGUCAGUCCAUCCAACCAUUUUCAUCUGUUUAUCCGGAGUCAGGUCACGGGGGCAGCAGCCUAAGCAAGGAGGCCUAGACUUCUAUCUCCCCAGGCAUUUGGGCCAGCUCCUCCGGGGGAAUCCUAAGGCAGUGGUUCCUAACCUGGGGGUCCCGACCCCCACAAGGGGGCGCCAAAGCCUCUCAGUGUGUCGCCAGGUCCCCUCCACUUUAAGGGGUUAAAACUUCAUCUAUUACUUGUUUAUAGCCUACAUUUUGCUCACAUUUUUUUCAUGAGUGAAAAGUUUACUGAUAUUAAGACAGGAAAUAAUUAGGACAGAAAGAGUAACACACUUUUAAGAACAUUUUGCUCAGCUCACUGUUUUAUUUUCAAGUGUCAAAAGUUCACAGCCUUUACAGUAAAUAAUCUAGUAUAAACAGUAAUAUACACAUUUAAGUACAUUUUGCUCAGUGUAUUUUUUAUGUGUCAAUCGUUUAUUGAAAGGAUUGAUUGAUUUAUCAGUGUUUACAAGAAACAAUGUGUUCAGAAAAGUAACACAAACUGUCAAGCACAUUAUGCUCUGUUUGGUUUUGUUAAUGACUUUGUUCUGUACUGGAGCCUACUAUUACUGUUAUCUAUUGAAUCAAAGCAUAUUAAAAUGUGCUUGAAUAAUUUUAUCAUUUCUUAAUAAUGUUUGUACUGGAAGAGAGAAUGGGAGGGGGUCGUCAAAAAUUGUACUGGUAAAAAAUGGGUCCCUUGGGAAAAAGGUUGAUAACCACUGUACUAAGGCAUUCCGUGGCCAGCUGAGAAACAUAGUCCCUCCAGCGUGUCCUGGGUCUUCCUUUGGGUCUCCUCCUGGUUGGACGUGCCCAGAACACCAGGGAGGUAUCCAAGAUUCCCGAGCCACCUCAUCUGGCUCCUCUUGAUGUGGAUGAUGACCAAGCUUCUAACCCUAGCUCUAAGGGAGAGUCCAGACACCCUGCAUAGAAAAUCCAUUUCGGUCACCUGCAUCCGUGAUCUCGUUCUUUCUGUCACUACCCAAAGCUCAUGACCAUAGGUGAGGGUAGGAACGUAGAUUGGCCGGUAAACCGAGAGCUUUGCCUUCUGGCUCAACUCUCUCUACACCACGGCAGAUCGGUACAACACCCUCAUCAAUGCAGAUGCAGCACCAAUCCACCUGUUGCUCUCACGCUCCAUCUUACCCUCACUGGUGAACAAGACCCAGAGUUACUCAAACUCCUCCCCCUGAGGCAGGACCCCAUCUCUGACCUGGAGAAGGCAUUCUACCAUUUUCCGACUUAAGACCAUGGUCUCGGAUUUAGAGGAGCUGAUUCUCAUCCCAGCCACUUCACACUCGGCCGUGAACCACUCCUGUGAGCACUGGAGAUCACGUUCUGAUGAAGCCAACAGGACUACAUCGUCUGCAAAAAGCAGAGACCCGAUCGUUAGACCACCAAAACACCUUGGCUGUUCAAGGGCAGCCUUGGCAGUGGUAAAGGAGUGAACCACAUUUUUAAAACGAUUGUACUUGUCUUUGAUUUUUAUUUCUUGUGGGAAAAUAAACAAAGUGCCUUUUUUUUUGCUGCUGAUCCUUCCCUAGAUACAACUGAGUUGGAGAUUGGAGCUACUGGAACAUUGGAGGCCGACUAAAUUGGACUGAUAGUGGAUCAAUGGGUCAGUGAAACAGGAUGUGGAUAUUUUCUGUUACAUAAGUGCAACUACUGGAGCCAGAGAUUCAAAUCAAUACGUUUUAUUUAGGUCCGUGUUUCUAAAAAUAAACCUUUAUCCAAUCAGAAAAAUGAGUGGACAAUUAAGUUAAAGAACUCUUCUGCAGAUAAAUGAAUUAUAAAAUAAUUAUCUGCUGACAGAAGCUCACCUCUUCUGAAUGAGUCCCAACUUUUUCUGCUAUCUAUUGCAUUAAAGCAUCAACUCCAUGAGUAAUUACUUUUAGAAAACAUCUAAAGCUUAAAAUGCAGCUGAUCUGUUUGUUUUCAGCUCCCAAAGCUCAAAAAUCACAAAGCUGUACAAACAUCUGUCAGUGUGAGCAAAUAUCCUCUGGCAAAAUGUCGAACUAAUACCAGCUUUCAUCCCAUCCACAACAAAGAUUAGUAAACUUUAAUUAUGCCUGGAUCUAUUUGUUUUUUUCCAUCUGACACGAUGGAUGUUUGAUUGUAUUAAUACACAACGAGUUAGCCCUCUGGGAAAACACACACAACCUUAAACACACCCCUAAAAUCACCGAUUUCAAUCAGGCGGUGGUGCAGUAUGGGUCCGAGUGCAGAGCUCCGGAAAGUUCAAGCAAGGAAUCUAUUUUAUCCCCACUCCCCAUGCAGAUUGUCAUAAAGUUAAAGAAAUUGCAUGAGCCAGACAGGAAGUAAGAGGUUUUUCAUCAAGAUACAUCUGGUGUAUUUCAAAAUAAAGCCUGUGUUGUAUUAACUUUAAUGUUUAUUUUUAUUUUAUUUUUAACGACAGGGAUAUCAGCUUACAGUGUGUGAUAGUUGACAUUAUUUGGUAUGUUUUUUAAAGUAUUGUGUUAGAUUUCUAAUCAGCUGUGGGAGCAGAUUUCACACACGAACACAAACUUAAGUCUGCAGUGUGAACGGCAGUCCGUCCAGAAGCCGCAUCCAUUCUGAACGCGGUGUAUAACAGGCUAGAGGCCGACCGAUAUAUCAGGCCGAUAUGUUCAGUUUUUUCUACAUUGGCCAAAAUUAUUUUCAAAAGCCGAUAAAAAAAAUAAUAAAUUAAAAAAUUAAAAAAGACAAAAAUGUAUAUAUAUA